rnacentral:rRNA from 1 species
GGAAAAAAGGGGAGGGGGGCAGGGGAAAAACGGAUGGUAAAAUCGUGAUCCGGAUUUAUGGGGCGUAAAGCGAGCGCAGACGGUUAUUUAAGGCUGAAGUGAAAGCCCGCAGCUCAACUGAGGAAUGGCUUUGGAAACUGGAUGACUUGAGUGCAGUAGAGGAAAGGGGAACUCCAUGUGUAGCGGUGAAAUGCGUAGAUAUAUGGAAGAACACCAGUGGCGAAGGCGGCUUUCUGGACUGUAACUGACGUUGAGGCUCGAAAGUGUGGGUAGCAAACAGGAUUAGAUACCCUGGUAGUC